rnacentral:rRNA from 1 species
UACGGGGGGGGCAAGCGUUGUUCGGAAUUACUGGGCGUAAAGGGCGCGUAGGCGGCCUGCUAAGUCGGAUGUGAAAUCCCUCGGCUCAACCGAGGAACUGCAUCCGAUACUGGCGGGCUUGAAUCCGGGAGAGGGAUGUGGAAUUCCGAGUGUAGAGGUGAAAUUCGUAGAUAUUCGCAAGAACACCAGUGGCGAAGGCGGCUCACUGGCCCGAUACUGACGCUGAGGCACGAAAGCGUGGGGAGCAAACAGG